rnacentral:lncRNA from 1 species
AAAGGACUGACUCCCUCUCUUUCCUCUUCAUCGCGAAUCCAACCCAACUCGCCGGACGAAAUCGUACUCAUUCUCUCUCCGCGAAAAUCUGCUACAUAAAGCUGCCGGACGCCGGACAAAUUCGAAAGAAAGUUCGCCAAAAGCCAAGGUAUUUUCUAACGAUCUAACUAAAUGAAUGAAAUCUAGGGUAUGUUGGAUUCGCCCCUACCCAGAUGGGUUAACCCUUUCAGUAACUUUCUUCCUGUAUCAAGUUUGUUCAUGUAUUCGAAAACAACUUUCUUCCUGUAUCAAGUUUGCAGUUAACCCUUUUAUGUAAUUCGGUGUUUCAAUAGUCCUUCAAAAAAGAAAAAAAGAAGAAGCAGUGUUUCAAGUCUAGAGCCUUCAAUUAACUGUUACAAUGAAGAUUAAACUUCAAUUAAGUAUUUGGUAUUGGAAUUCCAGUUAAAGGACUAUGUGCUUUACAGUUUUGGAAGCCUAGCCUUAUUUUGGGCUAUUCUGUAAUUUUUAUGCCGUUGAUGGUAAGCAAGCAAGACGGACAAAGACUGAUAGUCCAUUGGGGGAGCUUUUUGAUGCCCCUGAUUUUAUUUUCAUGUGCUGUUUUAUAAUUCCCUUGCUCUGUCUCUCUCUGUCCGUCUUUUUUGUAAUACAGUCUUUUUGUAUAUCUGUUGCUUUAAUGUUUUGAUGAUGCUGUUGUUGUUUGGGCAUUGAAUCACGAUCUGGUCUGAGCUGCAAUUGAUGUGUAAUACUACAGUAGUACCAAUGAAGAAACAUCAAUGAAAGAGGGGAUGUUGUUGUCCGGUUUAUUUGUUUAAUUGUAGAAAUAUUAUUUGCUGAAUUGUCCUGUUUAUUUGUUUAAUUUGCUGUUGUUCACUUGUUCUCAUUGGAUUUGGUGAAUUUAAUCAACAAUAACACUACUACUCUAGUACACUACUUAAUUAAUAAUCCAUUGGAUUUGGCAGAUAAGGUUCAAAAAAGGCAUGUCUACGUCAAGCAAUAUGAGGAUUCAAACUCAUGAUAUUCGAUUCCGAAACCAGAUAUGUUAUUGUCGCCUGAGAGCUGCUGUGCGAAUAUCCGAAUCAGAGAAGAAUUCUGCGCAGCAAUGAUGAUGCUCGACUUGGAGUCAUUGAAAUCAAUGUGGAAAAUCUUAAACACAUCAUCAAUAUCUUGGUGUUCUUUUGUGGGCUAGCCUUGGUAGUGUCGGUCAUGGCACUUGUCAAGUGAUAUGUAAUGCACUGUAAUAUUGUUGUCCACUAUUUUCAUUGUUGUAAUAUGGAUGUUAAGUGUGUACAGUAAUUUCAUUGCACAAGUAAUUUAGGGGAAUGUACUUGACAAUACAAUAUAUAUGGAUUACCAAAUUAUA